CGUCAUAAAUAGGACAUCUAUACGUUUAUACAUUUAAGAUUACUUGUAAUACGUGAGUAAAUGUUGAUGUUUUGGUAUCGUUAGUGACCAAAGUCAGGACUAUAAAGGGGUCUGAGGGGGUCCAUAUGGAAUUGCACAUGACCCCUAAAAGAGGCUUCACGAUCAGGGAGAAAAUCAACAGGGCGCUCAAAGAAAAAACCCUUGAGGACGGAAUUUAUGGGAUGCUCGGACGUAAAGACGUGAUGCACACCAGUGGGAACACCAUUAACCUUGGUAACGUCUCCGAUUUCAUCGACAGCAAGUGGGACUUCGAAUCUCACGUAAUUGUAAAAAGUAACAGCUCUGUUAUUGGUGGGAACGACGAAAGAAUCAGUUCACAUAAUACAACAAAAGCGCCUGGCAGAGCGAGUGCAUUUGUUCUUGGUGCUGUAGAUUUUGCAGAUGAAGGCAGGAUUACAUUAAUCGACGCCAUCUUGUCUAUGAGCGAAAGCCCUAACGUGACCAAUCACACAGACCAUGCAAAUACAAUUGCUUCUAAGGUCAGUGGUUUAACUACAAAGGAAAAUGUACAACCGGUCGCUGAUAAUUUAGUGGUUAUGAACACAACUGGGGAUGAUAACUUAAAUGGAAAAUUUAGAAAGUUGCUAUCACCUCAACAAUACAAAGUGUCGACUGAAGCAGCAAAUUUUAAUAUGAAAAAUCUACCAACGACAGGCAACCAAAUAUCUAAUCCCAUUCCACCACUGCCACACUGAAAGAAAGUACGCAGUUGCACCUACCGUCUCAUAUGAUUAGUACGGCAGAUUAUUUUCUUAACUGGAUUGAUGACGCGUCAACAACAAGAACACCGACAACCACAAUUCCAGAAAGCGUCAACAUUAAGACAUCAAUAGGUAGAUUCGAAGGCGCAAGUACCCUCGUGGCAGAUGGAUCUGACUUGAACAAAAAGUCAAAGAACGUUGAUAUAUGGUCCGGUAAAAACGGCAAAGCUGCGUUACUUGACAGCAAUUUGUCAUUAACGCAGAAAGUGGCAGAAAAUUCGACACAUGUGGACAGUAUAGUAAAUGCAAAAGGCAAUUAUUUCGGUAAGAAACAAGUUAUGCUUGAGACUCUCGAAACUAGAAAUGAAACUCCAGAAAAGACACACGGCAGCUCUUCAUUCGUCACAACAGCAAAAACGGUCGUUGACAGCAAAGAUUUGCAAGAAGUCGCAUCGUCUGCACAACAGAAAACUAUUGGACAGAGUCCGCAGAAGAGUUUUGUUAAUGAAGACACGCAUUUUGAAAUCGCUAACGAGUUUCAUGGACAGACUGAUACAUCAUCUAACGAAGCCGUUGUAAGCGUAAAAUCUUUGAACUCACAUAAAAUUGACCUCAAGCGCCACGGACCAACUGAAUUCAAAUACCACUCAGCUGAAAGCUGCGCAAGGAAUCACGGACCAACUGAAUUCAAAUACCACUCAGCUGAAAGCUGCGCAAGGAAUCAUUCGUGCACCAGUAGCAAGGAAACUCUUUAACCUAACUGAAAAAACUAUUUCAAGUCCCGUUGAAACAAGCAGUGUAUCCACUGAAACAAUUCCGCCUAAAAGCCCGAAACAGCGCACGAGAGUUGUUGAUUCACUGAUGAGUGAUGAUGCUCAGAAACUGCCAUUCAGGACCAACUCCAACUUCCGCUUCCUGUUCUCCAGCGACACAAGGCAUUCCCAGGACGAGCCUCAAGUGGCGCUACCUGUGUCAAGGUCCGCCCAAGCAUUUCAAACAAAUCAUGCGCUAUUAGAGAGUGCGUAAAUUAUAAAUGUAAAUUAAAGGUAGUUCUAACAGUUAAUUAAAUUAAUUGUCGAUACUUGAUGAAUAUAUAAUAUCCGUGUAUAUUUAACAGACAGUGUAUGACUAAGUUGGGAUGGAAGAUAUAAACCCAAACUGAUAUCUGUUCCGUGAGAGUGACUCUGAAACGCAACGCUAUUUUUUUGUAAGUGUCUAUCGUGUGUUUAAAUCAAGACGACCAAACACAUUUUAAGUUGUGUUCGAUUACGAAAUUAGAGGAUGUUUUCAAAUGAGAUACUUGAAAAAGUAGUUUUUUCUAACAAUGACUGACAACGACGGUGGCCUUAAUUAAGAAUGUUAGUUAUGCAAACUUGGUUUUGACUGCGAAAACUACUUACGCAAAGUUUCGGAAUGUUUGUAGAAGAUUUCGGUGAUAAUGACACCAAAAUAUUGUUUUCAUUUUUUAUCAUGGAAUAUUCUACUUAUGUAUGACCGCUCCAUUCGAGUUAUAAGAGGAACGAGCCACUUCAACCACUAGAACAGAACUGCGCUUCACCAGCCCACAUCCGACAAAAAGGGAAGUUACCGUGUUCUAGUCGCCUCGGAACGCAUUGCUCGCCGUUUUACUAAAUUCUUGUCAGUGUCAACAGUCCAUUUCGUGUUUAAAUGAUCCAUUGAAUCAGGACAUUGUACACCGAAGGUAAACUAAUGUAAAUCGCGCACAUAA